rnacentral:SRP_RNA from 1 species
GUGGGGACUAGCCCGGGUGGUUCGACGUCACCUGUGACCCGAAACCGCCGGCAUGCGGGGGGCGAAGUCCGAGGACGGCUCGUGCGGUCCGUGGGAUACGGGAGCAUUCCAACGUAGAUAUCUCGUCCUGUGAGGCCGGUGGACAGGGAUCAAAGCUCCGUAGGGAGCGGCGACCUGUUGUCGUGGAGACCGGUUCAGGCCCGGAAGGGAGCAGACUUACCGCGAACAUUCGGCGCCCACGGGGUAGCGGGGUGGAGAAGGGGUGUUUCGGUGAACACGAAUGCGCUGUUCCAACCGACGACGUGUCCCCAU